CUGGCUCAGGACGAACGCUGGCGGCGUGCUUAACACAUGCAAGUCGAACGAUGAAGCGGUGCUUGCACCGUGGAUUAGUGGCGAACGGGUGAGUAAUACGUGAGUGACCUACCUUUGACUCUGGGAUAAGCCUGGGAAACUGGGUCUAAUACCGGAUACGACCAAUCUCUGCAUGGGGUGUUGGUGGAAAGCGUUAUGGAGUGGUUUUAGAUGGGCUCACGGCCUAUCAGCUUGUUGGUGAGGUAAUGGCUUACCAAGGCGACGACGGGUAGCCGGCCUGAGAGGGUGACCGGCCACACUGGGACUGAGACACGGCCCAGACUCCUACGGGAGGCAGCAGUGGGGAAUAUUGCACAAUGGGCGCAAGCCUGAUGCAGCGACGCCGCGUGAGGGAUGACGGCCUUCGGGUUGUAAACCUCUGUUAGCAUCGAAGAAGCGAAAGUGACGGUAGGUGCAGAGAAAGCGCCGGCUAACUACGUGCCAGCAGCCGCGGUAAUACGUAGGGCGCGAGCGUUGUCCGGAAUUAUUGGGCGUAAAGAGCUUGUAGGCGGUUGGUCGCGUCUGCUGUGAAAGGCCGGGGCUUAACUCCGGUUUUGCAGUGGGUACGGGCUAACUAGAGUGCAGUAGGGGAGACUGGAAUUCCUGGUGUAGCGGUGGAAUGCGCAGAUAUCAGGAGGAACACCGAUGGCGAAGGCAGGUCUCUGGGCUGUAACUGACGCUGAGAAGCGAAAGCAUGGGGAGCGAACAGGAUUAGAUACCCUGGUAGUCCAUGCCGUAAACGUUGGGCACUAGGUGUGGGGGACAUUCCACGUUUUCCGCGCCGUAGCUAACGCAUUAAGUGCCCCGCCUGGGGAGUACGGCCGCAAGGCUAAAACUCAAAG
rnacentral:rRNA from 1 species